rnacentral:rRNA from 1 species
GAUGAACGCUGGCGGCGUGCCUAAUACAUGCAAGUCGAGCGAACAGACGAGGAGCUUGCUCCUCUGACGUUAGCGGCGGACGGGUGAGUAACACGUGGAUAACCUACCUAUAAGACUGGGAUAACUUCGGGAAACCGGAGCUAAUACCGGAUAACAUGUUGAACCGCAUGGUUCAACAGUGAAAGACGGUCUUGCUGUCACUUAUAGAUGGAUCCGCGCCGCAUUAGCUAGUUGGUAAGGUAACGACUUACCAAGGCAACGAUGCGUAGCCGACCUGAGAGGGUGAUCGGCCACACUGGAACUGAGACACGGUCCAGACUCCUACGGGAGGCAGCAAUAGGGAAUCUUCCGCAAUGGGCGAAAUCCUGACGGAGCAACGCCGCGUGAGUGAAGAAGGUCUUCGGAUCGUAAAACUCUGUUAUUAGGGAAGAACAAAUGUGUAAGUAACUAUGCACGUCUUGACGGUACCUAAUCAGAAAGCCACGGCUAACUACGUG